rnacentral:misc_RNA from 1 species
GUUGUUGUGUGUCGCCCAGUUUGGACUUCUGACUAUCCGUGUCCCAUUAUAAAACGCUGUUUGUUCAGAGAAUGAGAUAAUUGGACGUUAAGAGCGGAAAAACCAUAUACCCAAACUGAGAGCCUGUAUCAUACUUCUAAGACCCUUUGGGUGUGAAGCUUGUUUAUGAAAUAUCACGCUCGCAUAACUCAGAAGCCUUCUCUUCACAACAAAAACGAAUAAAUUUACAAUUUCAUCUUCCUAUUAUGUGUUCAUUUCUCUUUUAUGUUAAAGGUUGAUUUCUCUUUUAUGUUAAAGGUUGAACAUUGUAUGAGAGAUGUGACUACAUAAAUGCAAUAAAACUAUUUGUUUCGUAAAUAUUCCUUGAUAAAUGCUAUGGUGUUGUUCUUUGCUUCAAUUUUGAAGG